GGGCCCGCACAAGCAGCGGAGCAUGUUGUUUAAUUCGACGCAACGCGAAGAACCUUACCAGGUCUUGACAUCCACGGAACCCGGCUGAAAGGCCGGGGUGCCCUUCGGGGAGCCGUGAGACAGGUGGUGCAUGGUUGUCGUCAGCUCGUGUCGUGAGAUGUUGGGUUAAGUCCCGCAACGAGCGCAACCCUUGUGCUUAGUUACUAACGCGUAAUGGCGAGGACUCUAAGCAGACUGCCGGGGAUAACUCGGAGGAAGGUGGGGACGACGUCAAAUCAUCAUGCCCCUUAUGACCUGGGCUACAAACGUGCUACAAUGGCCGCAACAAAGAGGUGCAACACCGUAAGGUGAAGCGGAUCUCAAAAAAGCGGUCUCAGUUCGGAUCGUGGGCUGCAACCCGCCCACGUGAAGUCGGAGUUGCUAGUAAUCGCGAAUCAGCAUGUCGCGGUGAAUACGUUCCCGGGCCUU
rnacentral:rRNA from 1 species